GAUUACUCCUACGGGAGGCAGCAGUGGGGAAUAUUGCACAAUGGGGGAAACCCUGAUGCAGCCAUGCCGCGUGUGUGAAGAAGGCCUUAGGGUUGUAAAGUACUUUCAGCGGGGAGGAAGGGAGUAAAGUUAAUACCUUUGCUCAUUGACGUUACCCGCAGAAGAAGCACCGGCUAACUCCGUGCCAGCAGCCGCGGUAAUAAU
rnacentral:rRNA from 1 species